rnacentral:rRNA from 1 species
CCUACGUGAUGCAGCAGUGGGGAAUAUUGCACAAUGGGGGAAACCCUGAUGCAGCGACGCCGCGUGAGUGAAGAAGUAUUUCGGUAUGUAAAGCUCUAUCAGCAGGGAAGAAAAUGACGGUACCUUAUUAAAAAGCCCCGGCUAACUACUUGCCAGCAGCCGCGGUAAUACGUAGGGGGCAAGCGUUAUCCGGAUUUACUGGGUGGAAAGGGAGCUUAGACGGCAGCACAAGUCUGGAGUGAAAUGCCGGGGCUUAACCCCGGAACUGCUUUGGAACCUGUGCAGCUAGAGUGCAGGAGAGGUAAGUGGAAUUCCUAGUGUAGCGGUGAAAUGCGUAGAUAUUAGGAGGAACACCAGUGGCGAAGGCGGCUUACUGGACUGUAACUGACGUUGAGGCUCGAAAGCGUGGGGAGCAAACAGGAUUAGAUACCCCAGUAGUC